UGGCAGCAGGGACAGGCUGGGCAGCUGCAGUGAGAGCAGCACACUCACGCAGCCACCGCCAUGUGGGGCUUUCAGGGGGGCUCCCGGCUGCUGGCCACCCUGCUGCGGACCCCACGCACGCCCCGGGCGCACAUUGCCUCCAAGCCACCCGAACAUCCAGUCUCUGCUGCUGAGCAAGCCCUCGCCUUCUCCGUGAUGGCCAUGUGCUUCCUGGUGCCGGCAGGCUGGGUCCUGGCACACCUGGAGCACUACAAGAGCAGAUCAGAUUAAAAAGCAGCAAGACCCACCCGCACCCUGCUGAGAGCAGGUGUCUGAGCGAAGGCAAGAACACAGAUCUUCACCGGGGAGGAACCCUCUGAGUUUGUUCAUUAAAAUUUGCCUUAGUACUCAGCA